UUUACGUAUAGGUAUUUGAUCACGUGAUAUGUUUUUUUUUAAAUGUGAUUGGUUAAUUUUGUAGUGAGGUGGUAUAAUUCACUGUUGCGCCAUAGAAUUUUCAAUCUGUUCAGAAAAUUAACAGACCAAUGUUGUUCGUAGGUGUUAUAGCAGUUGUUCUUAUGAGCCAAGUUUCAGCUACUACCAGUAAGUAUACUGACUAAUAUAAAAACUUAUAAUUCAUACUCAACCAUUUUAUUAAAACAUGUCUAAACGUAAAGAAAUAAAUGAUACUUAUAGCAUCUUUAACAGAAAAGAAACGGAUAUCGCCUUUAUUCGGAAUAUUCGAUACUUCCAUAUAAUCGUCUAUAACUUUUUUAUAAAAUAUACAUACAUAAAUUACUUCCAAAACAGGCGAAUUUGAUAUAAUUUAUUUAAAACCAAAUCUUUUAAACAAUUGAUUUUUUUGCACAAAAUUAAAGCUGAUUGAUAUCUUUGACACACGGAAAAAACAUUUAAUUUUCUUAUCCCAACUUUCGAUAUAGUAAGAGUUAAAUAUAGUUUACUCGGACUUAUGGUGUUAAUGUUGCCCUUUAUAAUUAGGAGGUUUUUUUACGAUUUUGCCGAUAAAAGGAUACAAUUAACUUAUUAUAAGGUAGAUAGGGUGUCUUCCGCCAUCUUGGAUUUUGAAAACCUAGAUACCAGAUUCGGUCUAGAUCUUAAAUGAAAUAUGCAAAUGUCGAGAGUAGAAGGUAAUUCAUAUGUAAGCCUUUUCAUGCCAAUACAGAAAAUGACAUGUUUUUAUCAUCUUUACAGAUGCAUUUAUACCCAUAAUUUUUUUUAAAAAGCAUGAUAUAAACUGAAAUUUGAAAAAUUAUAAAAAAAUUCUAUGGAUUUAAACUUAGAGCCCCAUCUACCUUAAACAUACGUAACUACCCUGGCAGUGUCAUGAUGUAGCAAGGCUAAAAUAAUUACUUUAAUUCCAAAUUUUUAUAGACUAAAUGUUUCUGUUCUUUUAUUUAUCUGAAUUUUUCAUUGUCAUUUACCAUUGGGGUUUGGUAUUUUGUACACUUUUUAGAUACUUUGUAAUUAUAAGAGUUUAGUCCGUUUAUAAUCCUCUGGGUACUGGACGCAUAAGAAAACAAGCUUAUCCUAUCCAACAAAAUUGUGCUAGUCCGUUUUAAGUUGAAGUAUUCUGAUUAUAUUUCAUUAUUUUUUUCUUUGAAAGGUGUUUUUAAGUCUGGUGUCUUUAAUAAAUUGUUAAACUAAAUUCAUUACAACUUACUUAAUAACCUUUUAAACUUUUUAUUUGAAAAUAAUUUGAUAUAUUUGUAUUUGAUUUAAUAACAAAAUAAAGAAAUAAAAAUGUGUAUAAAAUGGAAGUGAAUGUUCAUUAAGGACAAAUCAGAAUGCCACUGUAUUUAAACAAUCAAUACGGUCACCGUCACCGUCUUUAUCAAGAAUCUGAUGUUUAGUAGUUGUCGUUUGUUGAUGUAGUUCGUAAGUGUUAGAUGAGAUUAGACCGUUUGAAUUCCUGUUGAAAUGGUUUUACACUGGCCAUUUCCGGGGGCCCUUUAUAGCUUACUGUUCGAUGUGAGCUCUGUGUUGAAGACCGUACUAUGACACAUAAUGGUUUUCUUUUACAAAUUGCGACUUGGAAAUAGUGUUGUCUCAUUGGCACUCAUACCACAUCUUUUAUAUUUAUUAAUCCUUACUUACAGAACAUUUACAUACUUUGUAUUUAAUUUAAUGCCACUGUAUUCAAACAAUGCCGUCUGUGUCCUUACUUAUAGAAUAUUUCCGUUUUUCUUUUCAGAUUGUGAACAAUUCUGCAAACAUCUGAGU
rnacentral:lncRNA from 1 species